AGCAAUCCGGACCGGCAACGUCAAGUGAUCAGUAAUUAGAUGGACUACUAGCUUUGAACCAGAAUGGCUGAUGAUGUUGAACAAGCUUGUACAUGGCACAAGUAUCAGAAUCUGGCAAUUUGCAUUGCAGAACAGAAUGUAGGAGCUCAUUAUGGUGCUUAAGUGAGAUUAUUUUGGAUCUCACGGCAGAGGUAGCAGAUCUCGCAGGAUCUUGUUCUUUUCUCAGACAACUUGUAUAUAUAUCUUCGCUCAGCAAAUGUAACAUUGUCAGUAAUUUUCAGGAAAAGGAGGGAUUGUUUAUUUUUCUCUCCCCUUCUGAUUU